UACGUAGGGUGCAAGCGUUGUCCGGAAUUAUUGGGCGUAAAGAGCUUGUAGGCGGUUUGUCGCGUCUGCUGUGAAAUUUCGGGGCUCAACCCCGAGCUUGCAGUGGGUACGGGCAGACUAGAGUGUGGUAGGGGAGACUGGAAUUCCUGGUGUAGCGGUGAAAUGCGCAGAUAUCAGGAGGAACACCGAUGGCGAAGGCAGGUCUCUGGGCCAUAACUGACGCUGAGAAGCGAAAAGCAUGGGGAGCGAACAGG
rnacentral:rRNA from 1 species